GACCUCCUUGUCAAUGGGAGCGCGGGACCGGGCUGCCGGCACGGCGGUCAGGUGGGCCCCCCAGCUCGCUGCCAGCGCGGCCUCUUUCCCUCUCCGGCCGGCUCUCCAUCUUGUCGCCCGCAGCCCGCCUUGUCAGUGGCUCUGCAGCCGCUGGGGCCGCAGAGCCGAGGCCGGGUUACCUCAGGAAACGCGAUGUGGUAGUGGGUCGGAAUAAACCCUCCCGCCCCAGAAUUCGCCUUGGGGGCAUGAGGACAGAUUCGGCCUUUUCGCUUCCUGUGUCCACAUUUAUUGAGCACUUAGUAUGUGGGAGCCGAGGCUGUAAGGAGAGGAACGGAGCGGGCGGAGAAAAGCCAGGGCCUUUUCUCCGGGAGCCGCUGCCUCCAGGGCCAUCGUCGACCCUGCUCCGAGAUCCCAGUCGCCGGUCUCCGUGCAGGAGGGGUGCCCACCCUUGGGGAGGCCUGGGUGUCCUGAGCGGAGGGACAGGGCUUCAAGCGACUGGGAGUUUCCAGCAAGCCCCUGAUCCCCGAGCAGUUUAUUUUAAAAGCUUUUGCAAAUGUUGGACGGUUUAGCUUGGUGGAGGUCGUCUUUGCACUAAAUUCUCUUGUCCUCCCCCUUCGAAACACACAAAAUGAAUUUUGAAUAGAUUCUUGGAUGAGAGAUUUUCUUCCUUUUUUCAUCUUCUGAAACAUUUUCCCCUCAUUUCUUCUCAAAAACCCAGGAACCCGGGUCAGUUACUCGGUGUACAGCUAGUCAAAUACUGAGAAAACCAGUCGAUAUUUGCCAAAGAUUGGGCAUGUUCUGGGUGGUCUCAGAUUUUGAAGAAACAAAUUUUUUACUGCACAAAAUAGUUUUACAAUCAGUUCCAUCAGACAACCCCAGGGGCUCUCCUAGGGAAAGGGGCCAAUAGGCAAGGUUGCAUGGGGAUAAGAGAGGCAAGCGGCCAGUGGAAAACGUUUUUUUUUUUUUUCCUAACAGUUGGGCAUUUCUGUGGCUCUGAAAGCAAACUUGUUUGUUUCAUUUCAACCAUAGAAAAAAAACACUUCUGUUUUGGAAAUGUAACCCAGCAUAAAAAUACAUUUGCAAUGGGGAAAAAGAAGGCAGUUUAGGGCCACCCAGAAGAAAAUAUUUUUUCCCCUGAUUUUUUUUUUUUUAAUUUGGUAUUUCCCAGUGUGGGUUUGCCUCAUUUUACAAAUAGCUGCCUAUGUCAAGUUGUGGGUAUGUGAUUUAAAUAUUUUAAUUUGAAUCACAUUUUACAUAGUCUAGGAAACUGACAAAGGAAUCCUAUAGAGAAUUGUUUUCUAAAGUGAAUAACUGCUUCUCUACCUACCCGUCCCCCUCAUUCUUCUUUUCUGUGCGUGUUUUUUGGGGAAUGUUAGGGGAUAAAUCUGGUUUGGCUUAACUAAAACGCAGCCUUUCAAAUCCAAAACAGAGAGCUUAGGCACCCAACAUUCUAUAGAAUGUGUUAUUUCCUCAAGAGGUUGCUAGGAACAGUUAUGUAGAUCUACCAGGUGCAGGGAAGCACUCUACAUCCUCACCCAGGUCCUGUAUCCCUGCAAGACUGCAUUGGAAAGACUGAAGAGGAAGCUGAAGAAUGAUAUGCUCCACCACAAUGAGGGACUAAACAACAACAAGGAGGCACGGGAUUCAGGAAGGAAAAAAGCUUUUCCCAUCAUUCCUCUGGAGACAGAAGACUUUGCCAAGUGGUCCAAGCUUUGCUGAAGACCUAAGGACUUUGGGAUUGAUAGAGCUGACAAGCCAUAGCAGGACGGCCAUCCCCUGAGAGAUAGGAGAUGAGGAGAAACAGCCCGACAGGGGCCUGGAGCAGCUGGCUGGCGUCAGUAAUUUCCUGCAGGAGACUCUGCUGGCCGAGCACACGUCACCCUUCUGUUGAUCCUCUGUAUUCUCCCUUGUGCUACUAAAAUACGCUAAUGUAACUCCUGGGCUGUGCUGAGCUAAAUGCAGUUAUUUAACUUCGUCGCUAUGGAACCCAGGUCUAAAGCAGCAACAUCUAUUUGGAACAAGGUGGGGAGGAGGAAAAAUAAUCUUCCCUGGAUCUGAGCAACUGUAUUAAGUUUGUGCUUGUCCAACACCCGCAACACAUGCCCCUACCUGGAGAAGAGAGUCUGGAACAAUUGGUCUCCUAGGAUUCCCUGAAUGUCACAGUUACCUGCAUCAAAGUAUCAAGGAGGCCACUUAAUGACAGAAAUGUUAGGAGUGGGAUGCCUUUUCUUCUGCCCUUGGGCAUCAGAUUCCAGGUUCUUUAGCCUUUGGACUCUGGGACUUGCACCAGUGGCUCCUCUGGGGUUCUCAGACCCAGAGCUUCAGGCUGCAGACUGCACUGUUGGCUUUCCGAAUUUUGAAGCUUUUAGACUUGGACUGAGCCACGCAACUAGGUUUUCUCAUUCUCCAGCCUACAGACAGCAUACCAUGUGACUUUGCCUUUGUAAUCAUAGGAGGAAACUGAGACUUAGCCAGAAAGGCAGCCAAUCAAUGGCAACAUCAAGAUCUGAAAGCUGGAAUUCUGAGAUCAGAGUGCCAGCAUGGUCAGCUUCUGCCGAGGACUGUCUUCAGGGCUGCAGACUGAAGACUUCUCAUUUUAUCCUCACGUGGUGGAAAGAGCAAGAUAACUUUCUGGGGUCUCUUUUAGAAGAACACUAAUUUCACUCAUUAGGCCUCCUCACUCAUGACUUAAUUAUCUUCAAAGUCCCCACAUCCUAAUACCAUCACAUUGGGGUACGGAUUUCAACACGUAAAUUUUGGUGGGGGUUGGGAGAGGAGCACAAGCAUUUAGUCCAUAAUAGCCACAUAAUGAAAAGAUUUAAAAAAUGAAAUUAUUCAACAGGAACACAGUACAAAUAAUAUGAUAGGACAAAGAUCAAAUAUAUUUUAUCUGUUAAUAAAAGUAAAUCUUCAUUAAGAUAAUUUUCAGAAUGAAUCGCAAAGCAAACCCAACUCUGUUAUAUGUAAGAGAUACAUCUAAACAAAGAUACUCACAAAGUUUAAGAGUUAAAGAUACACCAGAGAAAUACAAACACAAGGAAAGCAGUGAUUGAUAUCUUAAUAUCACACAACAUGGAAUUCAAGACAAAGAUCAAUAAAUAAGGAAGGAAGGGUACCUUUUAAUGUAAAUGAUAUAAAUCAGUUUAAGAUAACAUUUAUGAAUAACUAUGUGCCAAAUAAUAUAGCAUCCACCUUUAUAAAGCAGAAAUUAGACACAAGAAAUAGGCAGAUACCCUAAUAUAAAGGGAAUUUAAUUCACUUUUCUCAGUCUAUUUUAUACCAAGAGGACAAUAAUAAACAAGGAUAUAGAAUACCUAAGUAAUUAAUGAGACAGACAUGAUUAAUCCAUGUAACUAAAGAAUACAGAAUAAGCUUUUUGUU